ACAAAGCCAAAGCAUGAUAUAAAAAAUAAUAAUAAAUUAGAGUUCAAACAUGAUCCUAAAACCAAAAAACCAGAAUCUGCUUACUACCCAUGCCCAUAUAUUAUCCAUUAGGAAUCAAAAAUCACAGUUACAGAAGAACAAAAAAAACUUAAAAUACAGAAUCUGCAUCCUUAACAUUUAUACUGAAAAUCAUAAACAAUCAUAUACGGAAAGCAAAAAAAAAAAAAAAUCAAAAAUCACAGUUACAGAAGAACAAAAAAAACUUAAAAUUCAGAAUCUGCAUCCUUAACAUUUAUACUGAAAAUCAUAAACAAU
rnacentral:lncRNA from 1 species